CUCCUCUUCAACCUUCUUCACUCGAUUUGCAUAAGCAAAACUCAAAGUACUGUAACUGAUAUUAGAAAAUUCUCCCUGUGUGUUGUGAAGACGUAUUGUGCUGAAAUCAAUAAGACUGUUUAAAAUUCAAAGACCUGCAAAUCGUUCUGUUUGUCCUUUGAUAGGGCCUGUGCUGAUUAAAAUGCUACCAAGAAAGCUUAAUUGCUGCACUAAUUAAGAAGUCUUUAAUUUCUUUCCUAGGAUAUCGUUUGAAGCCGAGCUUGUACCAGUUCAGGGAAGGGAAACAUAAAAAUGUACUCUCAAACCUGUGGUUUAAAAACGAAGAAUAAAUCUGUAGAAAGGUGGACUUAGAGUUGGGAUUUGGUGAGUAUCAUUUUAUUUUCUAAGUAUAAAAACAGGAAUUCUAUGGGGAUUCAUUUUUGACCCUUUUUAUAACCCUGGGAGGCAGAGCACUGUAUUACAUCCAUUCCAUCUUUAUCUAUUGACCUAUUUUAUUCACUGAUUUCUCAAGUGGGGAAACUGACUAAAUGAUUUCACAAAGCUUUCUCUGUAAUCAAUAGUCAUUUUUAAGGUUUAUUCAUGCUGCAUUAUAAUUCUGGUAAAUGACUGCAAAGUAGAAGAUUGUAAGAUAGAUACAAAUAUUGACAAAGCCAGGGUAAGUCAUGUCUUUAAAUCUUUAGGGCUUCAAUAUAGCAAUUGAUACAGUUAGACUGAAAAUGGGGAUUUCAUGGAAGAUAAAAAUACUAAAAUGAUCGAGUAACUCUUAAAGGCAAUACAUAUCUGAAUGUUUCUUGAACAUCUCAAAAUUUCCUGAAAGCUUUAAGUAUUCUCUUUUUACACAUCACUAAAUGAAACAGAAACAAUUUAGGAAUAUGCAGAAAGGGGAACAAGAAAAGGCUCCCUGAAAUUUUAUUCUUUUAUUUUUUUCCCCAAGUUCAAUUAGAAGCAUGCACAGAAAAAUAC
ensembl:lncRNA